rnacentral:lncRNA from 1 species
CAAAAUUGGGCUUUCUUAGUCUUUGCUCUGUUAUCAUUACACGACAACGAGCAAAGAGGGGCAGCUGUACAAGCCCAAUUUUAACCCUUCCCAAACCCAUUACAAAACAACCCACCAGCCCAAACCCAAGACCCAAAACAGACCCAAAGCCCAACUACUAGCCCAAUAAUCCCAAACACCUCAGCCCAAUUACAAACAAACCCUAACCCAAACACUUUCAGAAAAAAAGCCUAACCCCUAACCCUAGCCGCCGCACCUAGCCCACUUGCCCCCUGCCAUCGCCGCGCCGCACGUCACGUCUCUGCCAUCACCAACUCCACCCACUUGCCUGCAAAAUCAGAGAAAGAAAUGACAAGUAAAGAAAAAAAUAAUAGAUCAAAAUAUUGUAAACAUGGCUAUAAAGCCAUAACAACCAAUGUAAAAGGGGGAUUUUGUUUUUUUUCUAGGAGAUUUUGAAGGAAAAGAA